GGGUGCUCGUGUUUUAAAUGUUGAUUUGGCUCUUUGUAUUUUACUUAAAGUGCACUUGGGGACUCAUGAGCUUGUGUGAUCGGGUUGGCUGAGGGGAGAGAGCUUCUGGCUUCACAGGGAGGCUGGAAAACAGGCACGUGUCAUUUCACAGAGUGGGAUGGAGGAAGCCAAAUCCUGCAGUCACCUCCCACCAGUCCCAGGAGAUACCCUGCAUCGUCCUUCCUCCAGAGCUAUUCCCGGCCUCGAUUUUUGUGGGAAGGUUGUUCCCGACGUCCCGACCGCAGUGACGCCACGCCAAGGGCAGCCCCGGCGCGCCGGUGCUGGGGGCGAAGCCAAUUUGCUUUGCAGCCCCUUGAUCGCCCAGGGGAAGGAAAGCGCCUUUUCCACCCGGCCGCCGGCUCUUCCCUUUCAUCCAUGAACAGAUCCAGGGGCUGCAGCACCUGAGAGCCCCCCAGGAGCCACCUGCCAUGGCAGGGAAUGGUGUGCAGAUGAGGACUGUUGUUUGGGAAAGCCUGGGAAUGGAAGGAGCCUGCUGGGAUGGAGCAGCACAGAAGCCCCUGAGCUUGGGUGAGGAGAUCAGAGCAAGCUGUGCCUUUAUAAAAAAAAAUACAUAAAAUACAUAAAGCAAUAAAAGUGGUUGGCUCUUGGUUGGAGAAGGAUGAGAUGUGGCAUUUCCCCUUAGAGAAUCUGUGGCUGACCUAU